rnacentral:rRNA from 1 species
GUGGGGAAUAUUGGACAAUGGGCGCAAGCCUGAUCCAGCCAUGCCGCGUGGAUGAUGAAGGCCUUAGGGUUGUAAAGUCCUUUUAACGGGGAAGAUAAUGACGGUACCCGUAGAAUAAGCCCCGGCUAACUUCGUGCCAGCAGCCGCGGUAAUACGAAGGGGGCUAGCGUUGCUCGGAAUCACUGGGCGUAAAGCGCACGUAGGCGGAUCUUUAAGUCGGAGGUGAAAUCCUGGAGCUCAACUCCAGAACUGCCUUCGAUACUGAGGGUCUCGAGUCCGGGAGAGGUGAGUGGAACUGCGAGUGUAGAGGUGAAAUUCGUAGAUAUUCGCAAGAACACCAGUGGCGAAGGCGGCUCACUGGCCCGGUACUGACGCUGAGGUGCGAAAGCGUGGGGAGCAAACAGGAUUAGAUACCCCGGUAGUCC